GUAGCGGGGGAAAAAAAAAGCAUUCAAGAAGUUCAAUAAUGAACGUCGCGAAUCGACUUCAAGACUUCAAGACUAGCAAGGAAAGUAGAACUCAGAAUAAAAUAAGGCCGCUGUGCUACUGAUCACAGGACAGGGAGACAAAUAUCUUUCUAACAAAGGAAAGCAGCUCCAUGUUCAGAGGUUAUGUCACAAAAAAAAAAGGCAAUAUAUUUAUAAAAUAGUAAGUUGCGCUAGGGCGUUAUGGUGUACAGCCUAUAAAAGAACAGAGAUAUAAAUCACCAAAACAGCUGUAGUGGGCAACACUUAAAUAAUUAGAGAAAGCUAUAAUCAAUAACCAAAGGUUGUGAAAGUUGCGUGGUUAAUAUUUGAAGCAGAUACAAAUAUUAUGUGUUCGGACAUUAUCCAUCAUCACAAACUUUUAGAUCUUAUUUGAAGCAGAUAAUCGAAAGUCUAUUGCGUAUAGGGAUACAGAUCUGUGGAAUCUAAAAUGGAAGACUGUGAGAGAAAUGACAGCUCAGCAGAGAAACCAUACUUCAUGUCAAAAAACCUGAAGAAAAUUCUUCAUAAAAAGAACAAAUGAAGUUGCGAGAAUGAUAAGCAUACCGCGCUAACUUAGAGAUGUACUUUUGCAUUCUUGAUAUAUUUAUAGAUGUUUACAAUAAUUUCUUUACUAGUCUUCUUCCAUUCUGUUAUGUUUACAUGUUCAGAUGUCACUUGUCAGAAUGUGAUAACCAAUUGUAUGUAACAGACAAUUGCCUACGCUCUCAGACAUUAACGCUUCAAAGCCUGAAAUUAACCUAUUCACAGCCGCAAGCGCAUGUGCAUGCGUGGUGUUAUGAAACUGUCACCAAGAGUGUAUAAAGGCACAAAGGUUACAUCCACAUGUUAGUAUUUUAUCUAAAUGGCAACUGUUCAUUUGCCCUACCAUGGCCUUCUGCAUUAACAAGUUACUGUAUACUGAUAUCUGAUUGAGAAAUUUUUGAUCAGUAUCAUUGCGGAUGUGGAGUAAUUUUUAAAAAUUCAGUUUCUGCCUUAGGAAAACCAGUAUGCCUGUGCUACAAAGACGUCUCAGGAAGUAAUUGCUGUACACUCUGGAAUCAUAUGAAAUGAAAUGCAGUUUACUUAAUAUUGAACCAUGUGGUACAUAUAGUAACCGCUGUACUUUGAAGGGUUGCUGUCUGUUUGUUACUUAUGUUGAAGCUGUCACUCUUAAGAUUUCAAAUAUAAACUGUUUUAUAAUUUGCAACAGUUGUGCCACAAUUCAUGCCUUCAGAUUUAGAACUGUGUUAUUUUAAGGAUGAUGUUAAGAGGAUUAGAAUGAUGAGAAAGCUUGAAAUAUAUCUCAAGCUCUGCUUAUUUUGAAUCAUUUGGUUUCCAUGGUCAACUUUAUUUUAUGACUGUUUUAAUUAACUACCCAGCUCCAUUGGUAGAUAAUUAAAAUAGUCAUAAAAUAAAGUUGACUGUUCUCUUCCCUGGACUUGACACACACAGACUGGAGUGGAAGGCCAGAGAACUGCCUGCAUCUGGCUGUUCCUACUUAUUAAAUGCUUACAAUUAAUCAGGAGGAUGAACCUGUCAUUAAAACUAUACAAGAUUAUGCCUAUUUUAACACCAGAAAAUAGAGGCUUCCUUUUUUCACGAUGUCUUCCAAUAGAUGCAAGUAUUUUGAUAUCCAGUCCGCAACAAUUUUUUUAAAAAUAGUAAUUGCAAAUUAAAGAAAUAAUGUGAUAAAUAAUACAUUUAAAGUAUGUCCAUUAAUCAAAAUGCAGUGUCAUUACAGAAAUCAUAUGGAAAAGAUCUGCCUGCAGAUAACGCUAUCUGACACUGCUUAGAGCAAUUUCAAGAGACUGUUGUGUUCUGCAUCGAAAAGGAGCAGGAAGAGCUUGAUCAAAUCCAGGAAGUGUUUUCUCAUAGUCCACAAACUCAAAUAGACAAGCUUCUUUGCAAUCAGGUGUACCACAGAUGACUGUUUUGAGGAUUGUUCAUAACUACUUUCACCUCCAUGCCUAAAAUGUGUAGAUUGUGCAGGCUAAGCCAGACGAUAACCCCCAACAAUAAUUUAGAAUCACCCCCACACCAAAGGAACAUCGGGCAGAGUCAACUUGUCCCAUCUGACCCGGUGUAUUCCUGCUAAAUCUGACUUCUAUUUUGAUAUUUCUUCUGCCACUGCCCUGAGUGACCUCGUUGUAUAUAUACUUCUCACAUUCCAUGUACCAGAUCUCAUGUCUAUUUUCUUUUGGUCUGGUCAUCUCUACAAGGAAUCUGUCCAUGUCCGCAGCUUCAUCCAAAUUUUUAUAACACGCUGUAAAUGUGUAGGCCUGGAAACCAUAAUAGAAGUAUCUUAGAAAGUUUCUUCAGUUACUUUUUCGUUACUACCUUUCCAGUUAAAAAGGGGUUGUAAUUGGGACAGGCCAAAAUAGUAGACAGUUUUUUUUUCAAUACUAUUCUACUGACAUUUAUUUACAAUUUAUAAACAUACAAAUAACAAUUUAUAAACUUCUGACUUUAGAACAUACAAACAUCUGUUUAUGAAACUGUGACUUUAUAAUAAUACAAAUCUGUUUAUAAUUAUGAAAUAGAAUCACAGGGUAGUCCUAAUUAUAUAAAAAAUAAAUUUUGAUUAACACUUAUUAAAUGUCUCUAUUAUGAAUUCUGAAACUAUAAAAUUUUCACAUGAGAAUUCCUACAAGAAUCACUAAUAACUCAGCUACCUUGACUGACAACAUUUUCAUCGAUAAUAGAAGGAGUUAUGACAUAAAACCAUGCAUAAGUGGACAGAAAAUCAUGUAACAGAAAGAGAGAACUUUUCUUAAUAUGUAGAGACAGUAAUGAUAUUAAUCUCAAAAUUUAUUUUAAACAAUAUUGUAAAAUACUAAACAGUGUUAUUUCAGUGGCCAAAAAAUUACACUAUUGCAAAAUUAUUGCUAAUUCUAAUAAUAAAAUAAGAAGCACAUGGAAAAUAAUAAAUGAAGAAAAUGGAAAAAUAAAACAAGACAAAGGUAAUUAUUCUAUAAUGACAGAUAAUAAAAUAAUAAUGGACCAAAAACAGAA